GUGCAUUGUAGUUGCAUUGCAUU
rnacentral:ncRNA from 2 species